UACGUAGGGUGCAAGCGUUGUCCGGAAUUAUUGGGCGUAAAGAGCUCGUAGGCGGCUUGUCGCGUCUGCUGUGAAAACUCAGGGCUUAACUCUGAGCUUGCAGUGGGUACGGGCAGACUAGAGUGCGGUAGGGGAGACUGGAAUUCCUGGUGUAGCGGUGAAAUGCGCAGAUAUCGGGAAGAACACCCGUGGCGAAGGCGGUUCUCUGGGACGGUACUGACGCUGAGACGCGAAAGCGUGGGGAGCGAACAGG
rnacentral:rRNA from 1 species